rnacentral:rRNA from 1 species
UACAGAGGUCUCAAGCGUUGUUCGGAUUCAUUGGGCGUAAAGGGUGCGUAGGUGGCAGGGUAAGUCGGAUGUGAAAUCCCGGGGCUCAACCUCAGAACUGCAUUCGAUACUGCUUUGCUUGAGUACUGGAGAGGAGAUUGGAAUUUACGGUGUAGCAGUGAAAUGCGUAGAUAUCGUAAGGAAGACCAGUGGCGAAGGCGGAUCUCUGGACAGUUACUGACACUGAGGCACGAAGGCCAGGGGAGCAAACGGG